rnacentral:rRNA from 1 species
UGGGGAAUAUUGGACAAUGGGCGCAAGCCUGAUCCAGCCAUGCCGCGUGAGUGAUGAAGGCCCUAGGGUUGUAAAGCUCUUUCACCGGUGAAGAUAAUGACGGUAACCGGAGAAGAAGCCCCGGCUAACUUCGUGCCAGCAGCCGCGGUAAUACGAAGGGGGCUAGCGUUGUUCGGAUUUACUGGGCGUAAAGCGCACGUAGGCGGACUUUUAAGUCAGGGGUGAAAUCCCGGGGCUCAACCCCGGAACUGCCUUUGAUACUGGAAGUCUUGAGUAUGGUAGAGGUGAGUGGAAUUCCGAGUGUAGAGGUGAAAUUCGUAGAUAUUCGGAGGAACACCAGUGGCGAAGGCGGCUCACUAGACCAUUACUGACGCAAAGGUGCGAAAGCGUGGGGAGCAAACAGG